AUUCACCUAUGGGUAGUAGAUUCUAUAUUCAUUACAAAUUGUGAAUGAAAAUGAACAUAAAUGCUCCUGGGUUCUAUGUAUUUGUUCCUAUUUACUCUAGUCUUUAGAACAUUGAUAGAAUAGUAGAAUAUCCUAUUUUCUAUUCUAACAGUUAUUGUUUUUGGGGGGUGGGAGUCAGAAGUUCAGCCAUGGAGUGGAGUUUGUUCUUUUGUUAUCAUUUAAUGCGGGUGCCUUAGAUAACCAAGUGGAACAUGCAUUGGUGUCUCUAGCAACGGUGAUGCUGGAAUCUCCUUCCUUGAUUGUACAAUGUACACAAGAUAUGCACAAACUACGCCUUGUCAACACCUGACCUGAAGCCAGAAUGCAGGCAUAGCAAGGGAUCAGAAAAUAUUUCAAACGGGGUUCAUAACUAAGAUGGCCAAGGAGCUAUUUCAAGGGAGAGCAUACAUGCAUUGGAGAAGCUUAGUCAUCUAAACUAGGUUAUCGGAAGACCUAAGGUUGAGUUAAUGUUUGAGGCUCAAAAGCUACCAACAGAAGAAGAAAUAAUAGAAGAGUUCACAUAUCCCUUGCUUAACUAAAAGUAAUAGGUAACUUAUUGCAAGAGUGAUUGUUUAUACUUCCAGUUACCAUGACAUUGUUCCUCUUUGUAUAUGUUCCUUAGUCGACUCUAAAUAGUUUUAAAUGAAUUUUCAUUUGGAAUUUGUAUGUUGCAGUCGAAUUGGCUUCUAGUGGGUUUGUUUCUAAUUUUGUAUGCUUGUAGUAUAUGUCUAAGGUUUGUAGAAGGAAUAAUUGUUUCUAAGUGAGUAAGAUUUAUACAAGAUUUUAUUUUUUUAGAUUAUUCCCUUGAAAUUCUUUUAUUAAUGUGUUGAUGGAUUUAUUUGGUCUUGAUUGUUGGU